rnacentral:tRNA from 1 species
GACUGUGUAGCUCAGUUGGCAGAGCAUUGGGCUAGUAUUCCAAAGGUUAUAGGUUCGAUUCCCACCAUGGCCA